rnacentral:rRNA from 1 species
AACGAACGCUGGCGGCAUGCCUAACACAUGCAAGUCGAACGAGACCUUCGGGUCUAGUGGCGCACGGUUGCGUAACGCGUGGGAACCUGCCCUUAGGUUCGGAAUAACUCCCCUAAAGGGGUGCUAUUACCGGAUAAUUUCUUCGGACCAAAGAUUUAUCGCCUUUGGAUGGGCCCGCGUUGGUUUAGAUAGUUUGUAGGGUAAAAGCCUACCAACGCGACGAUCCAUAGCUGGUCUGGGAGGAUGAUCAGACACACUGGGACUGCGACACGGCCCAGAAUCGUACGGGAGGGAGCAGUGGGGAAUAUAGGACAAGGAGCGAAAGGAUGAACCAGAAAAGGGGUGUGAGUGAUGAAGGCAUGAGGGUAGUAAAGCUCAAUUAACCGGGAAGAUAAUGACAGUACCGGGAGAAUAAGCUCCGGCUAACUACGUG